ACGAGCUUCAUUCAAGUCUUUAGCAGCCACGGUUGAAGUCUAGAAAUACACAGAAUUCACACCUAAGUAGCGCAAGAGCAAAAUCAAAUGCCCAGACGAAUCCAAGCGGAAGAGAUAAUCACUCUGCAAAUCAAAUAAUGAAAGCGUAGCAUGGGUAUCUGGCGUGUCUUUGGGGGUUAUGAGAAGAACCAACCCCGAAAUACUAACAAUCUGGGAAGCUACCUUACCUAAGAGCAGUUCUCUACAUAAAGAAUUGGGCUCGGACAUAGUAAUCAAAGCAUAGCAUGGAAAUGAACCCGGGGCAUAGGAAUGAGAUAGGGGAAACGUCAUGAACCAGUGGGUACGAAAUCCGACUAUAAAGUAAGAAAAUGCUUGAUACCAUCUAGAGGAAAGGAAUGAACCGACAACAACCAGGAACAGGAGCGAGGGGACACUUUAGCAUCACAUUAGUAGGAUCGAGCCAAGAAAAACCCCAGUGGACCUAUGACUAAACUCCUCUGCUCCCGAGCCUCCCCUUAUUUAUAGCUAACGCUAAAAACUGCAUUGAUGGACCACUCAUGAAUUCUUUCUUUGUCCGGUCGGUGGUGCAGCGCAGAGGCUACGUGCAUUGGUUGGUUAACUGAACCACCGGCAUAGACAUUGGCAUAGACAUUGGUUGGUCGCGCUAGUAGUAAUUUCUACACCGACAUAGAGAAACCGACAUAGGUAAAAACAAAGAAAAACUCACAACUAUUCUAUGAUCCAACAACAGAAAAACUCAUGACUAUUUGAUGAUACAAUUGAUGAUACAAAAAUAGAAAAGAAAGAAUGAGGCUUCAAGGCGGGGAUCCUAAGAGCGAAUCUACCGGGCAAGUACGAUUUGGUACGAUGAGUUAAUAUACUGUAAGUAAGGAUUGAGUCCUGUAGUAAAAGAAUGGGGUAGUGCCCGCACAGAUCAAACUAAUAAAAGUAGGGAUACCAGGAUACCAGGGACCUCAACCCUUGCUUAUUUGACUUCUUUAGAGACUCGUUCAAACUAACUUAGCCUUUAUCUAAGCUAAGCGUGCCUUCCCUUACUCUUUGUCUAUCUUUUUCAGCUACCUCCCUACUGCACUAGAACCUUGCACCAGUGUCUCUUAGCUUCUAUCCUAAGCCUAGAUCCCUUUGUUCCAAAUCUACCGUCUAAGCCUACCGCUGCUACCUCUAAAACGGACAUGCCUGUCUUGACUUCUGACAUUUGUACUACAGCUCCCACCUAGUGAAGGAUGUCCGCCCCUUAGUCCUUUCUUUGUUUAUACCAUUGGAUGUCGUCUGCCCCUUGUUUCUACUAUUUGAUGUCGUCCGCCCUUUCUUUCUACUAUACCCAAGGUUGUUUCUACUAUACCCAAGCAAGACCACGUUGUCCCUUGUUUCGCACGUCGACGGAGUUAAUGACCAUUGAUGCACGAACGGACGAAGACAAGACGGAGUUAAUGACCGAACCGACCGAGGUACUUUAUAUGCCCCGGGACAGACCUUCCUUGCAUGGGUGAAUGAGCGGUUCCACUACAAGAACGAGUGCUUUUACUUGAAUAAUGAGUCCUUUGCCAGUAGGCGCGAUGGUACACUUGCAACACCAGACACAGACUAAUUCGCGUGCUAUUUCAGGCUGGGCUAUGCGACUUGAGGACCUAUUGAUGUUACCUCAAUGACUGGGUGAAUGGUUGCUCACAGAAUAGGGGUGCUGCUCGACAGACUUCUUUAUUUGACUCGGGGACUGAGCUAUGUUACUAAAAGACUGUGCCCGUGGGGACGCCAGGAAGACUUAUGGAAUGGUCGCUAGCAGAUGGAUAGGUGAAUUAAUUAACAGGAGUAUAAUUCUCGUAGUAUAAUAAGAGAAUUCGUUAUUGUAUUUUGAAUGAACAAACAAGCAAAUCAAGUAAAGCACGUAGACCACACCUCGCAUCAAAGAAAGCCGGAGUAAUCUAGUAGGGCCCCUAAGAUUCUUUCCUCUUAUCUGUUUGUUCGUGAAGUCACUUCGUGCGUAUCAAACUCUAGGGAUCUUUCUCUUUCUUGCCAACCGCAUAGCCUCUGUCCUGAAAAUGGUAAAUACAGACUAGAAUGACUGUUAAUCAGAAUUGACUACUACCCGCCAAUAGAGGAAACUAGCAUCUAACUCAGUGAAUCAAACUCCAAAGUCAUAAUCAAAUCAUGGGCGUUAGGACGGAAUUACCCAGCGACGUACCAAACAAAGAAUAUGGAAUAACUGAGCAGCAACCAAGCCUUGCUUUUGCUUACAACUUCUUAGGUCUGAUGCCUUAUUUUCUUUCCUAAGUCUCGUAGUUACAAUACAUAAUGAAACUUAGUAGUACAGAGGCCUAUUUCACCAGUAGCCCAAGCCCUAUGUUGGUAUCCUUUUGACAAGCCCGCCUCUCCUAUACCAAGGGGGUAGCUCACUGCCGCUACACAUUAGUAGUGACUUGCCCUAUCCAAAUAUCUGUUAUUAUUAAGGUAAGGAAAACAGAUCAAACUAGGGAUGGCGCCUAGACUAUUGAUUUGAACUAUUGAUGUAUAACUAUUGAUUGAACUCUUUAGUGAGGGCUACGAUACCUAUGGCAACUACAUCUAUGGCAAUAAAUACUUAUCGGAGGAGUGAAAGAGGUGCGGUGCUCUAAGACUAGGAUGAAAGGCUUUCCCUAGUAGUGAGAUGUCAAUUCUAGUUUCCGUUUGGGUUCGGUGCUUGGCCUAUCUUAUCUCUGUGACUUGCCGAUUCCAUUUCUCUAGGUUCUCUAUUGACUCAUUGCCAGGGAGUUCUUUCGCUUUUGUCACUAAUCCAUAAAGAAUUGAGUGCCCUUGCCACUAACAGUGCUUUCAGCAGGCUGCUCACAGUGCUUUCAGCAGAAGAAAGAGAAGCAGAAUCAUUUGCCUAAGUAGUAGAACUCGAGAAGCCAGUCACUCAUUGAUAACCCAGUCACUUUAAAGGCGGGAGCGGUUCCGCAGAAUUAGCUACACCCCCAUCCUCUGAGAAACUUUACUUGACGCAUCCCUUUCUUUUGAAUCAGACUGGGGCUUGGCUUCCAUCGUCGACAACACCUUAACUUGCUUCUCUUCGCCCAUAAAGAUGUUAGGAAGAAAUGACUUAUAAGCUCUCUUAGUCGGAUUCACUUAGUUGCAGGUGCUAGUGUUGGAACGGUAAUUGGCUCGGCUUUCCCUUUUGUGAAGAUAAGUUCAAGGCUUUCCCUUUGCACCCGUUGCUUGGCUGUUUCUAGUUUAUUGAAUUUGAUUCUAAAUCUGUUCAACCCAAUAGAUUCUUAAGUAAACACCAUUCUUAUUGGCACUACCGGGACUCGAGUGAGAACACCCAUCUUUGCUGGCACUGCUUCUAUAUAGGAUUCCACUAGAACUUCGAUUUCUUCACCGAGAACCUGAACUAACUCUAGCCUCCUUGCCGACCUAUGCUAUGUCUUCAAAUGCAAUUCUUCACUGAGUCCCACUUUUGGUGUUCAUGGCGGCAGUAAAGUCUCUGCGGAUCGCCUUAGCAUUGAGUCUUCUGGUUUAUUGAAUUGAAACCCCUCCCCUACCUAUACAAGUUCCCGAGUUAAGAGUAGGAACAAUAUCAUCAGCCGGGUACGCUGCAAGGGUCUCUGUUUCAUGCUACUAAGCAAGACUAAGCUACGGGAGUUCUUUUCCUAAUUUCAGGGCGUCAGUGAGUUACCUGUUGUGCGUUAGUCCGAGGAAGAAGUAGAAGAAUUCGGCAGGUAAGAUAGAUCUUAGUAACCACUUCUGUGAAAGUUAUGAACAAGUCCGUAUUUAGUCCCAUACCCUGUGCUACCAUUCCUUGGAUUCGACUGUUCUUAGAUACUUUACCUCAGCAUUAGAAAAGAGCUUGUUUCUAUCUACGAUAUUCUGCACUUAGUUGUCGGUUCAUAAAAUAGAGUGAGAGUAUAAAGGUGAAGGAUCAGAAACGGAAUAGGGAUCUUCAGCUGGUAAAGAAGAGUAACAAGCAUAAUUAGGAUAAGAUUCAAAAGAGAUAAGGGAUGCUAUGUCUUUUCUUGCUUCUCAAAUAAUAUUUCUAGUGGAAUUCUAAGAUAGCUAAUUUCUAGUGGAAUUCUAAGAUAGCUAAUUUCUAGUAGAAUUAAUAGUACCCGUAAAAUCAUAUUUGAUAGUAGAAUUCUGACUUGAGAGUUUAGAGGCGCUAACGGAUCCAGUUUUGAAGCAAGUAACCGACUCGGGAAGGUAGCUCCCUCAGACAUGCUUUAUGAACUUACUAAAGAGAACAAAAGGGGACUCAUGAACUCCUUAGUAUAAACAAUGACUUUAAUCCCCCCGGCCCGGUUGGAGACUUUUCGACACCUUUACGAAAUUCUAUAUCUGGUGCUAAAGAGAUUCAAUGGAAUUAGAAAACUUUCACUCACCUUGAUGAAUCUACUUCACUGUAAACACCCUUUCCUAACUUGAUAACUGGAACAAUCAAAACUACUGAUCUAAAGAGUUCAAUACCGGUAAGCAAACUCUAUUCUCUACUUCCCGACCUCUGGAAUCACUACACUCCCUACGAGGAAAAACCGAUGAAGAACAGGCGCUCUUUCCACUAUACAGACACAAAGGAAAAAAGAUUGGAUAACUGAUCUGAUUCAACUCGGGGGGAAGCUGUUCUAAAGUCUGUUACUUGCUGUGCGAGGAAGGAGUGACUUUGCGGUGUGAAAGCUGGGUCAAAGGAAGCAGUUAGAGCUAAGUCGUAAAGAGAAGAAAGAGAAUUGUGAUAGUUUCAAGAAGUAGGUGGAGUGGUCCAGAGGCCUUAUAGUAAGUUGCCCUAACUGUAUUUGUAGCCUAGGAGCCAUAACUGUAGUAGUUAACAGAGGUGGAUGAGCAAGAGGUAUACACUUAGUAUUCCAAGUAGGAAAGUGAGAAUGAAACAAGCUGAGGGCAACUAUGAACUUCAUUGAAUCUUUCUCUAGAUCCUAUAACUCUACUCAGCGUGUGCCCUAUUCAACCCUUUAAUCAUGCCAUUUGAAGCGGGUUUGAUCUCUUCCUAAGGGAUUUGUAAAAGUAGUGGAAUGAUUUGUUGAAUGUGAAGGAAAGCUGUCUGCAGUGAGAGUUUUCUCCUUAUCCUAGUAUUAGAGCGGGUCUUCAAGGGUAGUUGGCGAGAGGGAGGUGAGAGUGUCGGUUCAGAACUAACAGCAAGCAUCAAGUCUUGUUCUUGAAACUUGGCUUUCGACCUUUUCCUUUCUUUUCUGGCCCUUGUUUGGGGACUAUCCCUAUUUAGAAUAGAGUUCGGGUCGAUAACACACCUCUCGUUGGUUAACUAAACAGAUUGUUUGGUAAAGUAAAGUAGAAAGUUAGGGUCGAGUUCAGGGCAUCAUAUCUUACUUGCUUUGCAGCGGGAAGCUAUUCUUCACAGGAGAUGCAGCGGGAAGUCGCGGGGUAGCCAGGCCCAGUCAGCUUUAAUAUAAGGUCAAGUCCAGCAUUUGAUUCCCGAGUUGCCCCUGUGCCCCGAGUUGCAUCUUUCAUCUUUAUUAUAUGAGUGCAAUUUCUCGUUUCAUCCCGAGUUGACCACUGUAGCUAUUCCAUCUCAAUGACAAUUGAACUACACUUGGAACUUAACCUCGUCUCUUUGAACUCACCCCUCAUAAGCCAAAGCAAGGAGUGAUUAAUAUUCUUCCCUUCCCGAACUUGGCUUGAGUACUGCUCCUGUUCUUGUUUAAUGCCGAGUUGCAUCAGUAUUUGUUCUUGUGUCGGGUAGGGUGAACACUUAUAAGAGUUAGGGUAGGGUUCCGGGCAGAAUCAUAAUAUCUUAUAGGCGAUGAAGCGGUCAGUUAAGAGUUUUGUUCUUUUACUAGAUUAAUUAGUAUAGGAGUUGUGUUCGGGAGCCUCUUUUCCUUGGUUACUUCUUUCUAUUAUAUUGGAAGAAAAGGAAGAAACAUGACGAAUAUGUACACAAGCCUAACUAGUAUGUAACAGAGCCAAUCCACGCUAAGCUGCGGGACAAACGGAAGUUCAGUUACCAACAAUAGAGGAAGCCGGGUAUGGUCUCGCUUAUCUUAGUUGGGCAGCAGUUCAAUUGUUCCUGAGUGAACCUGUCUUUAUAGCGGUAGUGAGCGGAAGGGGUUGGCUAAAGUCAAAUCAGUAGAUUAUAGGUCGAGUGCCAGUACCUCAUUUCAAAGGAAGGAGUGCUAGGUUCGCGAGAGGGAUAUGGAACUAGUGGUAGCUGGGUAACGAAACUAGUAAUUGCUGGGCCCUUAUUCUUUUAGUAUUCUACUUACUGACUUACUUGCCUUCUACUGGAUGCGCUAGAUGAAUACCCUUUCUGGAUUUCUUUCUUCUGGAUCUGGAUCCGAAUCAAUUCUUUUUGGCGGACUCGGUUGUAAACAAACUUGCUUAUUGACCCACAGAGCGGGGUGCUAACUAAUGUGAAUGAAGAAAUAAAGUCAUGGUUGACUUCCCUGACAAGCGCCAAUAACCGAACCACGUCUACAAAAUGCCAGUACCCAGCUGCUACUCGUACUAUCUUUUUUCUCUUCACUUGACUUCCCCGAACUAGACUUUCCUCGCGCCUCAAGAACAAGACUUUCCUCUGCCCCGAACCCUACUUUAUGUGAAGAAUGGAAUGUUGUCCACCAAUUAUAGAAUCUAGUAACUUCAAACUCCGACUCCUGCUCCAACUCAAUAUCUUGCUGGUUUUUGAGAUCUUCUUGCUGGUUCUUUAGAUCCUGCUCCUUCUUAUGAUCCUGCUCUUGCAAACACAUUAAUAAGUCUUUGGCCUGCACAGUGUUUAGUCACUAGCCCUACCCUAGCCCCAAUUGAAUAUUGAACAUAUGAUAGAGCUGCAUAUGAUAGAACUCUGAACUUGAGAGGCUUUCAGCACCUUGCUUUAAGAAGAGAAUGGAGGCAUCUAAUUAGGACUUACUCAUAACUCGUAGGAGACGAAGAAAGGACUUGUACCACAGGACUACUCGACUACUUACUUUAUAACUACGGAUUCUCUGGUCGACCACACCUCGCUUCACUUCAUAAGUACUGAAUUCUGCACUUCCCUUAGCAUUUGUUAGUGGUCUGGUCCAAGAGAUUAGCUGUUUCAUCAAUUCUCUUUCUUAUGAUUCAACUCGGGGUGCCGACCUAUCUUUAAUUCAAUACCAGAUGCGGCAGAUUGGGAAUACACUAACUAACAGGAAAAGGCUUGUUCAAUUAGAAGUGUUCUACUAGAUGCGGUACCAAUUAUGUAUUAGGGCCAGCUCAAUAGAUCUUACCUCUGAUAGGGGAAUGCCAUGAGCUUAGGGAGUAGUAGAACCCAUGUUUGUUGCUGUUAAGGUAAGGCUCGGGUGCUUGUGUUAAGCAAGUAGUCAAUCUAUCACCUCAGUCCGCAUGUCCACUCCUAAAUUCCGUAUUUCUCUAUAUAUAGGAAACCCGAAGAAACAGAAUUAGGAUAUAGGUUAGGUUAGAGAUAUAAGCAGGAGCUAGAUCAGAUACUUAAUGAGAAGAUAGGUAUGGUAUGAGAUAGAAGCAGGAGUGGAAUAAAGAGCAUGGAACAGGCAACGCAGGAAAAGGCGACUGUAUUGACUGGCAAGAAAAGAAGAGAUGGAAAUAAGAAAGAGGCGAUGAACACAGGACAGGGUCGGUUAGUAACAUAGUAGAUCAUGCAUGCCUAGCUCCAGCCUAUUGAAAGGGUAACUAAAGUACUGGUUUCUUUCUCGCCCAGCUUCUUUUGCCUUUGUAGUAUACGCUUGGCCUGUCACUCCGGACUCCUUUACGAGUAGUAGCUUGGCUCUUUCAUUCCUACUUUACAGAGAGCAAGAGGGAGAGUUAGUUCGGGUCAGAAAGGGAAGCAGUGUUCUUAAUAAGAAGAAAGGGAACCAGUUCAGUAACACCUGAUUGAGAGUGGCUUGGCUCCUAGUUUAGAUUGAGAGUUUCAUCCCCUUAUAGUAGUAUAGUAGUCCAGGAGUGGAAAUAGAAAGAAAAUCCGUAUUUGUUGACAGAGGGGUAUAUUAGCCAGCUCAUUAGCCAGAGGGGCAUAUUAGCCAGAGUUAGGUUAGUUGAAAGAGCAAGAGAUUCAAUAAGGUAUUAGUUGAUAAAGAAGAGCAAGUAGAAAGGGAUGCUUCAAGUCCUGUUUCUCAGUGAAUAGUUGACAGAGCCUAGCCUGUAGUUGGUGAGUUUCAUCCUAACUAAAGAGUGGAAUCCCCAGUUCCUGCUCUUGUUUAAUACCUUGUUUAGUUUGAGUAUUUGUCUGUUCUAUAGGUAUUGUAUUACUUUACUGGGUUGACAAGAUUGAGUGGAGGUGGACUACUGUUGCUUGUUCAAUAAGCCUUAGUUCUAGUGAUUUUGCCUUACUCUGGCUCUUUUCACUCAAACAAAACUUUCAACGGGCUCCUGCCGCACAAUUGGAAACCCUAUUUCGGUAUGAUUUUGGAUACUCAGUGAGUGAACCCUAAAUCAGACUACUAGUACAUACCACUGCAUAAGUCUCUUUUUGUAGGUUACUUACCACCGCAUAAGUCUCUUUUUGUAGUUCGAGGUUUAGUAAAAGCAAGAAUUCCACAUAACGUAGUUCAAUUGUCUAAGUUCGUUUCUAGGGUUGGCUAAAUGUAGUUGCCUGUCUGCUUGGUUCUUUGUUUCAAUGGUUUAGACCCGGGAAGUAGUUCGCUAACGGGAACAGAGUUGAUAGGUGCAUUCCCAUUUAUUUGAUAGAACAUCCAGUUAAGAAAUUGAUGUUAGAGUUGCGCCAGGGCAAAUAGUAGUAGCUCUAAGUCUAGGAAAGUAGUACUUUUGUUAAGCAAUGAAGGUGUAGAUAGAAGUUCAGACUCCAAUGUUAGGGUCCACUGGGUUGGUCAAGAGCGCUAGGUUCGUUGCCCGCUUCCAUCUUACAUGGCCUAAUUCCUAUGUUUCUUCAGUUGAAACUGCUGUUCGAGUCUUACUCUAUUAUAAAUCAAAUAGAAGUUUGACUUUAAGCCGAGAAGAAGGGAAAGUAAGGUUAGCUAGCUGAACUUCAAGUUGAGGUCGGCUAGGGAAGCUGUUAAGUAAAGAAAAGGAAGCAGUCAAGUCUGAAGUAGAGGCCAGCAGGAAGGUCAGAGUGAGAAGCACCAGCGAGAGUAUUAUUGGCAUUGGUCAUAUGCUAGUCAAACCUUAGAAGCGGUGUGAGCGUUAGGGGUUCUUUUGAUCGGUGGUUUUAUUCCAAGUUGAUAGUUGAAAUACGAAUUUCCUUAUAUCAAUUCCGAGUUGCCUACUUGAUUGAGAGCACUAGAACUAGGUCGGUUGGUAAGAAAGAGCUCAUCAGCUGUUAUCAAGUAAUCUGUCUUAGCGCGCCAAUAACUAUCCUUGAUGAUCGAUUGCUGCUUCCUUGCGCACAGCUUAGCUUCAUCUGUAUUUGUUGUAUGAGUAGCUGGGCUUGGCCCGGAGCAUAAGUUGAGGUCGAGUGCGCGUUGAAUUGCCCGGUAGUCUAGGUCAAGUUAAAGUUUCAUCCCAAACUAGUAGUUUCGUAGUUUAAUAAGUAGUAGUAGCAAGAGGAGAGAUAUUCUAGUUUACAGAGGAGAGGAAGCUGUUUCCAGAGCUAGAGCUGGUAAGGAAGCUGUUUCAAGAGCGGAUAAGGAAGCCGGAGAGGAGGAGUUUCAUUCAAUACUGCAGGCACCUGAGUUAGGUUAGUAUUGAUUCUAUUUCUAUUCUGACUUCCUGAGUGGAAGACCAGUUAGUAGAUCCCCUAUUCUUAUGAGUAGUGGUAGAGAGGCCUCUCUAAGAAGUUUCGGGAAGGGAGUUAAUCACUAGGGAGUGAAAGAGUUAAGAAAGAGGAAUUAGUUUACAGAGCCUAGCCAGUAGUUUAUCUGUGGAAUACCGAGUGGAAGCCUAAGUGAAGUACCAUACUAUUUCUUCAUUUGCUAUGAAAAAACACGGGUUUCUUAAAAAAGAGCAUUUCAAUGGAACCCCUCAGGAGGCAAAACUCCUUUGCGUCUAUUUUUCCCGGGAAAACGCAAAAAAGGAAUGACUUUGGACCUCGUUAGUAGGUAAAAUGACCUUGCUACGAAAAAACACGGGGUUUCAUAAAAAGAUCAUGAAAUUAGACCUCGCUAUUAGCUAAAAUGGCUUCACUGCCAAAAAAGCCGGGAAAACGCAAGAGGAUCUGGUCUUGCUCAUAUACGGCUACAAUUCCAUACUCCCCGCUUCUGCUCUACUUCCUACUCCUGGCCUGGGAAAAAGGCUGUUUUUGUCGUCGUUGCUUGCCGGGUAUCAAGUAUAAACCUUCAAGUGGUAGUCCUGCUUAAUCAGUAUUUGUUAGUUGACAGAACUAGAUGGAGAGUGCUUUCCGAGUCAGUGAUCUCUAGGAGGUCGGGUGUUUGACUUCAAGUGGAAUCCCUUCCCUAUUGGGGAGACAAUAAGGCUUCACCGAGUAUACGAGUAGAGCCAGAGAGAUAGUAUGAGUUUACAGAGGAGGGGCGAGGAAUAGAAGUAUUGAUUGGCAAGAAGUAGAGGAGCCAUAGGUAAUAUAUAGGAGAGGAGCCUAGCCUAAUGAAGUUAAUAGUAACCCGAGAAUAAGUAGUGACAACAGAAGUCCGCCUGUUUUCAUUCAGAGAUCGGGGCAGAGUUGGAGGGUAAGUUGACGUUUAAGAAUGAUUUGUAGGCCAGUUGACAGAGGGGAGAGAGGCAAGCUAGUCCAGUAGUAGAGUAGUUGGCUUUGAAGCAAGCUUUAGUGUAGUGGUAAAGUUCAAUCCGUAUUUGUUAGUUUACAGAGGUAGAUGAGACUGUAGGUCUGUUAUGAUUAUUAGUAGGAAUACCGGGUAGUCCUGUGAGAGUGUAAUCCCCUGUUGCAUUCUUUGCCAGUAGUUAAGAGUCGCUAGUGGAAUACCCAACCAGUAUAGUAGUAGUUUCAUCCCCUGAAUUAGUUGUUGCAUCCCAGGGGUUAGGAGUGGAAUCCCUUUAUGCUCCUGUUCGAGGUCAAGUUUCAUCAGUAGCUGAGGCUUCCAAUCUAGUAAUUGAACUCAGUAGUGAAAGAAUGAAACAAGUACCAAUCAGACCCCAACUGCAGCUUCCAAGCCUUCAACUGGAUCCGAUCAGACUUAAAGCAAGGGUAGUUACAGACUAAGACAACAGCUGCUCGGCCUACUACUGGUGCUGCUCAGGCCUAUGUUGGGUAGUUACAGAAUCAACCCUAUUCUUCCCUUGCCCACCGAUUGACCGAUGCUAUAGUACCUAAGUAGUAAGAUCAGAAUGAAACUAUUGGGUGUAAGCCUUAAGGGUUAAAUGAGAUGAGAGCCAUAGUUGAUGAGAUGAGCCAGAGUUAAAUGAAACAAAAACAGCCUUUUUCCCGGGUUUCUUAAAAAAGAUCAGUGAAAAUAGGUGAUCUAGUAGUUCCUUGUCUGUUUGACUCGGUCCUCUUAGCAAGAGAUAGAAUGAUGGUUUGACUUCUCGGCCCAGACUUCAAGCACUAACUCCAAAGCUGAUGCGGUGUCUAGGCAGAAUGCAACCGGUAUGUACGAGAAUAGAGCUCCUUUUCGAGUGAGAGUUGAUAGUAGAAUGAUUUGGUAAGCGAGCCCAGCCCAGUUGCAUCAGUAUUAGGGGCAGUAGCAUCUGUCUUUGUAGCAAUAGGAGUUAAUGACUAGGGAGUGUUACCAGAUUGGAUUCUAUAUUACCUGGCUCAGGCUUAUGUUUCUCACCUUGGAAAACAAGAAAUGAGAAAGAACAAAUAAAGUAGAAAAGUCGACAAGGCUGCCGCGCAACUUACGUAGUUGCUUGGCCCCAAUCACUACACAAACAGUAGGGGAAAAUCUAUAUCCAAAUAUCUUAUAUUAUUAAAGAAACUAGAUUGAACUAGAGAAAGAAACCGGACUAUACUAGGGACGAAACUGGGCCAAGAGAACCCUAUUGAUUUUAGUGAUAAAUUACCUUUUUGCCCCUACGUCGGUUUGCAAUGUAAUAUUUCCUAUAAAACGAAAUAAGAUGCGUUCUAGCUCCUUUUAUGCCCCUUUCUUGCCUGUCCUAGCUAUAGCAACAGUCUCAAAUCCUCUGUGCUAAGGGCUGUGCUAAGUGAGUAGUUAAGGGAGUGAAGAGUUCCGGAAUUGAGUUCUUGUGAGCAACUAUUAAGUCGGAGUGAGUGAAAAAGUAAACCCGGGGAUCAACAGUAGGAGUGAGUUCAAAGAGAAUUGGAAUUACUAUAAGGUCCAGGUCGAGUUCUUGUUUAAUACCGAGUGGAACUCCAGGCUGGGAGUACGGAAUGGAAGAAUGGAACUGGUUGGUGAGCAGGAGAAUCUUUAGUUUCAAGAGAAGGAAGAGGUGGGUUGAGAGGUACGUAAAGAAGCAAGUUCAGGAGCAGAUUCCGGAGGAGAGGGUACCCGAGUAGCAGAGUAGUUGCAUCUGUCUUAGUUGACAGAGGCGAUUCACUCUUUAUUUGUUGCCAGAGGUAUAGAUGCGGAAUUGCUGUAAAUAGGGGUAAGUGAGUGAAGUAAACAAUAGCUGAGUAGCGGAAAGUAGGUGCUCGCCUGUAAAAGGAAGAAGAAAGUACUGGCUUUGAGGCUCGGUAAAGUACUGGCUUUUCAGCGGGAAGGAGCCUGAGCUAAACGGUAGCGAGUUAAAGACUGACGAGUGCAAUUCUGUAAUUCCACCCCUAGGUGCUUGGCCUUUCCCUCUUUAGUAUCAUUCUUUCCCUCCUGAGUUCAAUUUCAGUUAAAGGAGAGUUCGAUUACUUAUUGGGCAGUACAUCUUUCUCUUUCUCGUCUCCAGGACCUCUGUGAAACUCUUCUUAUAGCUCAUCCUUCUUUUAUUCAUUUAAGACCGACCGGGAAAAGUCAUAAGUUUGCUCAGCUUUGCUUGUGCCAUGUGAUCUAACGUUUCUGCUUGCGUCUUAGCUUGUUUCUUACUACGUAGCUUGUUCCGUUCCUAGUUUACCCGGCGCUCGACAAACAUAUUCCUUCAGUAUAGUCUCCUUAUGGUUUAGGUUAAGUAUAAAGUUUAGUAUCAAUAAAAGUGAUAUUGUAUAUAUAAUGGAUAUAAUGAUAUAUAAUGGAUAUAAUGGGGUAAUCUCAAUAAGAUGAUUUUCUUAAGAAAGAUUCCAUUCUUGAAUUCCAGGAGAGUUGGGAAGUAACGCAAAAGGCAAGCAUUGAGUUUCUAAAAAGGUGAGCUCCGUUAUCGCCCCAAGAGAGUAAGCAGUCUGGCGUAACUAGAAUAUGUGCAAUGAAAGCUGUCAGUGUUGUUAUCGACCUUAUAUAAAUUGUAAGUUAGAUUCCAUUCAACAAACUAGGGAGCAAGCCCCGAGAGCAAUCCUAAGUUAGUUCCUCCUUGCUUGUCGAGUUCUUAGCAUCUGAUCUUGAUCCUUUUCUGUCUUUGCUUACCACAAUGCAAGAACCAUAUAUCUAUGACUUAGAGCUAGAGCACCAACACUGGAACCAGCGAGCUAGAGCGGGACAAUGACUGUAUACCGCACAUCUGACUCUCGCCAUUAACAUAAGGGCUGCUGACUCACAACUUUCUUCCUUGACUCCAAAGCUCACAGCUGACUCACAUGAUACAGCAACUGAUCCUACUCCUGAUAAAGGAGACUCAGACAAAACUUUAGUGGACCUCGCUAAGGCUUAUUCAGAUUCUAUUGGGCUUGGCAAUACUUAAUGCUUCCUUCCUUCCGAGAACUAGACUGUAUUUAUUAUUCCUCUUCCCAUUCUCCAGAUAUUUCUUAUUUUGAUCUCGUGGACAAUAAGGGUAAAGCGCCAAUAACGGAUUGAUUUUAUGCUUCAACUUACUAGAAGGGCCUUGCCUCUCCUCUUGGGGCUGUAAACCUGGACUACUACUUUCCUUGUCAACUUAAGAUCAAACUCGGGAUAUUCCACUCGGGAUUGCAUUUCUUCACUUCAAGGACAAGAAAUAGGGAAAUCAAGAAAUCAAUCCAGUGCGGGUGUCAAUUCCAUCCUUAUUUUGCAGGUGUCCAUUCAAUCCUUAUUUCUCAAUAAGAGGGGUGGUGUGAUGUUUCUCAAUAAGAGGGGUGUUGUGAUGUAAUAGAUAUAGGUUGGGUGCCCAGUCUAGUAUGGUGACUUGUUAGGCUAGGCUUAGGCUAGUUAACUGACUUUUACUGGGCGAGGGUAGUAGACUUACUUGACACUAUAGGUUUUGGUGAAGUGGAAUUAGUUGCAUCCCGAGUGGCAUCUGUGUUUGUAUACGUGACUUGGCCCGGGUACAAUGUAGUGCAUCUACUAUACUAACAUCUACUAUACUAACAUAGAAUAUACAAUCUAUAAGAAUAUACAAAAUAGAAUCAUAAUAUGGGUACGAUCUAGCACAACUACUAAUGAGAAAAAACCUACCCACUCCAUUAGACCUAAGUACAUUUCACUAGGUGCGCACAAAGCUAACAAGAAAGAAACUAGUCACAAUAAUAAUGGAAAUAGGAAGAAUAAAGAAAUAGUAUAUGGGCUAGGGCUUUCACAGCUAAUAGUGAUCCUAAUAGGAGUCGUUUCUCAGAGUCAUUAGAGCAAAAAGCAGUCCAAACCACUGCUAUUGUUUGUAUCUUUUAUCUAUGUGCGGGUGCGAUGGGCCGUUAAUGGGUGAUGCGAGGACUGUGUGGUGUCUAUGUAAGGUCGAUCCGGUGUCCAUGUAAGGGUGUUUGUUUGGGCAAUAGAGAUAGGUUUGGAUUGACUCUCGGCGGGGUGGGGCAAGCUUCCAACUAUUUGAGAGUUAUGACCAGACAAGCGACUACUACUGUUGCGCGCCCUUAUUGUAAGUUGAAGCAAGGGAAAAGAUAGUCAUUAAUAAGAUCAGGUCUAAAGAAAAGAAAAGAAAUGAGAAAAUGAGAAAAGAAGGAAAAACAACCGGAGGCAAGAGAAGAGUAGAGUAGUCCAGAUCCGAUACCUCUUCUAUCGACCCUACUUUUGAUCUUCUAUUGACCCUACUUUUGAGUGGAAUUCUGUAUUAGUUGACAGAGAAGAAUGAAGCGGGAUAGAUCUAAUCUAGCGCAUUAUCCUAUUGAUUUCUCUUGCACCCUGCGCUUAUCUUAGUUGGGCAGCAUCGGCGGUAUAGUUGACUUUCUUCUACACUCUGUCCAUUCCUUAGUUCAUCCUGUAUUAAGGGCGGCAGCCCCUCGUAUCUGUCUCAUCUGUCCAAGCCGGUAGGUGCCAGGAAAGCAGUCCGAAUACUUUCCACUCGAAGAAUAAUCCUUAUAACAGGAAAUUCUCCACUUCCCACUGCAGAUCAAGAAAACUCCCCGUCAAUUACUUCCCGCGCAUACUAUACUGAAACAUAAGUCACUCACUACGUAUAUACUCCGUUAGCUAAACAUAAGUCACUCACUACGUAGCAGAGCGGUUAGGGCUUUAUACGCAGCACCCAACCCAUAUCUAUUAUAUUAUACUAUAAUGAUACCCGAUACCCACUCGGGCGACUAUUUCACCCCACCUCAGGCAACAAUACCUGUGGUCAUCUAUCAAUUCCAAUUCUUAUCUUCUUAUAGGAUAGGACUUCACUACAUCAGAGGUUAGAUUAGAUGCCCGGGGGCUUCCCUUAUCUUGAUUCUCUUGCGCCUGUACUGUUACUGAUGUAUCUGCUCUAACAGCUGACCGACCCUAUUGCUUCUAUAUGUCUCUUUCGAUUACCUAUUUCUAUUCUAACUGUUUCCCAAGCCGGCCUAUCCUCUGUAAACUCAUGCUUAUUGAAACAAGCAAAGCUGCUGGCUCUGUCAACUACUACAGUUCAAAGAGCUAACAACUCGUAUACUAGUUUGGGAAUCCACUAACUACUACUGAUUCCACAGCUGACCUUGCAGACCUAGACUCUAACUUACCUCGAACAGGGGCAAGCGUAUACUAUACUACAGACCAAGCAACGAGGCAAGUCACACCACACCGGUCCGGCUACCAUUAGCUAUCAGCCAAGUCCUAAAACCUUUGAGUGAACCGAACCCCAUAAUAGGCGCACCCGAGCUCUACUUUGAGAAUAGAAAUAGAACAGUCAACUCCCUUAGCGCAACAGUAACUCGUUAGCGAGCUGGACCUUCUUCUUCCUGGAACAACUUACCAUAAGGGCCUCGUAUAAGUGUUAACACCGAACCGAACUCUCUAAUAAGUUUCGGCAAGGUAGACAAUAAGUGACUUUCUGGAACUAGACCUGGACUCUUAUCUAACUCAAUGAAUUUCUUUGAUACCUGCAUUCGGCUUAGCUAACUCAGGCUACAAUAACUAUCUUCUGGCUAUGGCUACAAAGUGUUCCAAUUCCAUUCUUUAGUGCACUACCGGUAAGUAAACUAACUACUGUAGAAAAGAAAGAAACUACUCGAUCGAUUCUGCACCCGACCUAAACUCGUAUACAAGGGGAAAGCUCGACCCUAACUCUCCUCUGGCUCAUCCACCUCUUACCUAUGGCUUGGCUCACCACUUUCUUUCUUUCCGAUUCCUCUGUCAACUAAUUCUGAUUUCAAGAGCUAUACCUCUGUCAACUAACAAACACAGAUGAAACCGGGGAUUCUUACCUUCACCCGGGCAAGCUAGUACUAACGACUAAGGCCUACCGGUCUGAAACUCGUCAAUAAAACCCGUGUUUUUGGAUAGCGACUCUGGUUUCCCUCCUGAACCGAUCCAAUCCAAUUCACAUUUGACGUUUUCCCGGUAAAAAAGGUAGCGAAGUCUAGAACUCCUGCCGCGUAACAUUAGCAGUUACUUGGCCCUUCCUGAGGUACCUUAUUGAUCCUCAACUUUUCCGUUUUCCCGGGAAACAGCGCUGGCGCGUAACAUUAGUAGUUACUUGCCGGAUAGCAAAUAUGGAAAUUGGAUAGGACUUGAGUUGGGAUGGAAGUCAACUUUCCUCGCACUGGUUCCCUUGCCCACCUCUGUUGGAUUAUACCUUGCAUACCUAGAGUCCCACUCUCAGUACUUAUGGCGGAAAAGCCCUUCUUGAAAACUUCCACUCGUGUUAGCACUUAAAAGCCAGAGUACAACACUAGAACAGCGGAUUCUGAUCUUGAAACGGAAACUACACUUUCUGCUCUAACUGCUGACUUAGCGGGGGAAGGAGUGUACUCACUCCAAUGCUUGAAAGGUAGAGUUUGGUAGCGAGUGAAGUCCUAGAGCUAGGAGUGGGCAGUAGUUAAUAUCCUAUAUAGGAAGAGUCUAAAGCAGAUGCAGUUUACAGAGAAUUGGCCUAUAAAUCAGCUAAGGACAGGUAAGUAAAGGGCCUAUAAGCUAGUUCUGUUCGAUCCUGUUUAAAUCCCACUUACUUUAUGAGUCAUGCAUUUCUCAGCGAUCAAGACAUAUAGGUAGCACAUCAUCUAAUAAGGAAAGGAAUUCUUAUUGGCCCAGUUCACCCCAGUAUUUGUUAGGGGAGCCCGUUAAAGCAAGAUAGGCCGGCCGAUCUCAGGAAUGGAAAUUGUAAACUCAAGAAGAUAAGCAAAUAGACCCGGAGGAAUGAAAUGGAAACCCAGUAAGGAGUCAGCAAUACAAGAAGACUCGUUGUUUACAUAGUGACAUAUUGAUAUGCCUCAGAUUCCAUUCGUGAACCAACUAGCACAGAAUUGAGAAAAUACUGCGAAAAUCCUUCCGAAGCUGAGGUAGGAGAGGAUACCAGUAAGUAUUUCUUCUUGUAUUUAGCUUUCUUACGCUGGCUUUAGUAAUGUGCUCUUCGGGUCUUUCUUCUUGUAUUUAUUAUGCCAAUUCUUCUUUGCCGAUCCGAUUGAGCGUUAGCCAUUUGGUUUGCCCACUCUGCGAUCCACUUUUACACCGUAUAGUUUGAUUAGUAUAUUCUGCGUUCUGUGUUCGAGAGUCUUAUUUAGAACUACUUAAGGCUAAUUAAGACUAUCAAAAGAUAUGGAAUAUUGGAACUCCUCUUCUCUUGGCAUUCCCUCCAUUGUACUUUACUAGCUUAGGAAGUCUGGAUUCAAGCGGUUAUUAGAAGAUCCCCUUCCAUCAGGCUUUCCUUAUUAACCCCUUCCAUCAGGCUUGCUUUCCUUAUUAAUAAGAUAAAGAGGUUCGGUUCCAGAAUAGACGUAAACUACAUUGCUGACUAUCAUAUCUUUGGAUCUUGAGCCAGCUUUCACAUCAGGCAGCUUUUGAAUAAAAGAGAUAGAAAGCACAUCCCCUAUAAUUGAAUAAAAGAGAUAGAAAGCCGCUAAUUGUGGGGACAAAACACUAGCCAAGCAACUACUAAUGUAUAGCGGUAGCGAGUGAAACUCCCUUGACGACCUCUGUUUAAGAAUACCAGUUAGCCGGCAACCCUUAUUAGAAUCCGUCCAAGAAUGAAAACACUAACUAGAUGUGACCUCUCCUCUUGCAACAAACACAGAUGAAACUACAAUACUACUAGUUAGGGCUGUAAACCUAGCUAAAUCCUCUUCUCCUACUUGUAAACUUAAGACUCACUGGUUUCGGGAGCUAAACUGUGACUAGAUACUUAGUUUAGUCUAACUCAGGCUCAUCUCUGAUAACUUCAUUCUUAUCCUACAAGAGAACUCGGGUUGGUGCUCUAGAACACGGGACAGGACUCCUAAAGGUAAGAAACUACAAAGGCAACCGAGCCAAGCCAACAAGCAGACAGAACAGAUUUGCUAUCAGGCCAAUAUCAUCAAUUACAGAGUCGCUAGUUGCAUUCUGUUACUACCCAGUUUCAUUCUGAUCUACUACCCUUGGGUGCGGGUUUCUGAUAAUACUAUGAUAUUCUUAUACUGACUACUAUCAUUCAACUUUACUACUACCACUGCUAUAUGAAUUCUUUGACUACUACUAGUUCUAUUACUAUAUGCGGGCAAAGCAACUACUUGUUUAUAACCGUACAAGCAGACAAGUAACUACAUAAAUGCAUUCUAAGGGCCAACACCAGACCAGACUUUACUUGAGAUCUUACGUUUGAUACCGGAAUGAGGCUUAUCUAACUCAAUUGAUUUUAUGCCUUCUCUGUAGUAGUGGAAUGAUUUGACUCGCGAGUUGUUGUUAGAUAGAGUUGAUUUCAACAGGCUCCUGCCGCGCAACAUUAGGAGUUGCUUGGCCCUUCCCUUUGUUUGAAAAGAGCUAGAUUCUCUUCCUUCCUCGGGACAAUCAGUAAAGUGACCAACUUCUCUUGCUUCUGCUUUAGCCUCCUUUCCCUUUCCACCCUAACCUGGACUCCCGGUCUGAAGACUCUAACCAUUAACAUAAGGGCUGGACUACAACCCCACCCAGCUGUCAACUAAUACUACAAAUACUGAUUCAACAAAGAAUUCCACACUGGGGGCCAGUACUAUCUUUCUCUUCUGCCUCACCUCUUGCUUAUCUACCGUAGUAAACAAAUUCCAUGAAAUUCUGAAAUUCCACUAUACUUACUGGCUUGAAAAGAGGGGAAGGAAUACAACAACUAUACUUACUGGCUUGAAAGGGCAGGAAUGCAAGUCUAUUUACUUGAAAAGGCAGGCAGGAAUUCCACUAUACUUAUUGGCUUUAAAAGACAGGCAGCUGUAAAGAUGGAUACUGGCUUAGACAGACUGGCGGAGACAGAGACAAGCUAGAGGAAAGGGCAAUCCUAUUAUUCACCAACCGACAUGCCCACUUACAGACUAAAGGACUUGAGGGAAGACAAGGCUUUACGACUGGUUUACUUAAUCAAGCCAUAUCCUACUUCCAUGACAGACAGACUAGAUAGACAAAUAUUGCCACAGGGAACAGGGGGAUAAGGAAGAGCUGACUUCUUUCUUCACUAACCCUGGCUUUCCUUUGUCCCUUGCUUUAACUAAUUCCUAGUUAUGGGGUAUGGUAAGUCUGCCUAUUCGUAGACAACACCUUUAUGAGGUAUGGUAAGUCUGCCUAUUCGUAGCGCAAGGGAACAAGUACCGUCCCUAAGUGCGUUAGCGAGCUUAGUACGAAGUGUGACCCUCUUUCUUCUAUUAUACCUAGCACGGGGAACAAGAAUGAUUCUUUAUCCGAUGCCCCAGAACUUGACUUUACGCGCCAACACAAGAAUCCAACCCGAAAGGCACCUGCUCAAGCUUAUUCUCCCGCUUUACCAGCUUCCGCUCCAUCUUAUGUUUCAACUUCACCUUCACCUUACCUUUCCUAUACUGACGACGAUAGCGCUAUCACAUUACCUGCGCAGUAAUAGUAAGGAGCAUGAUAUUAUUCAAUUCCAUUAUGUAUUUCCAUCACUAGUUAUAGAAUUCAGUAAAGACUCAGCUCCUUCUCUGGAAACUGCUUCCUCACCUUUUACAACUACUAUAACAGUACUGGCACCCGACACAAGAACUGAAAGAGACUUGACUUUAGUACACCUCGCAUCAAAGGCUUUACUCUCUUCAAAGCAAAGACAUGACAGUAGUUCAAAAGCUUUUUUCAUUGGGCUUAUACUAUAGGUAUAGAUAGGAGAUAUAGGAUCCGAAUGGAGUGAGAUUAGAGUCUAGUUCCGGUUCUAAAGUAAGGUUAUGACCGAAAUCGGUUCUUUAAUUCUACCUUCUUAGGUUGUCUCUGACUUUCCCACUCCUGAGUGCAAUUCUUAGGGAUAUACCUGCGAGCCCUAUCUUUAGUGCUUUCAAUCUUGGCCGAGAAAUCAAACCAGAAUUCUCUCUCUUGCUAGGAGGACCGAGUAAAACAGACAAGGAAUCCUUCUUUCGAGCCCAGAGCGGAGGUAGAGUCAACCACUAGACUAACGAAGCUAUGAGCCAAGGAACUACUAACUCAAUACCCGGCUAAUAAAUAUAGGCUUCUUCCACUCAAUCAUUUGAACUCUGGCUCAUCUAACGAAAUUGGUUUUCUCAUCUAACUCAAUUGAUUUUCUACCUUAGGCUCCUAGGCGACUAUGAACUUCUUAUAAAGCUUCCUCAGCUGCUCUUGAAACAACUUCUUUCUAAGAUGAACCAAGGGGUCAAAAGACAGAUUCCACUCGGGAUGGUGCCUAGACUAUCACAGUACUACCAGAGUUAGAUUAGAUGGAGUAGAAUAGUAUACGCUUGCCCCAUCACUUGUUCUUGUUGUGCCGAGGAAAACUGUAAUGGAUUCUCGAACAUAUGGUAUAAAAUGAAGUACAUAUCCUGAUCCCGUUACGGACCCUGGUAACGCAUCUGACCCUGACCUUUCCACUGCUGGAUAUACUUCUAACUUCUCCUUACACUGGAUACUUUACUAGCACUGCUUCCUCAUACGAUGAAACUAGAGCAGAACAUCACUCUCCUUCUUACUUAACAGCUUCCCGAAAGAAUAACACCUAGCUACCUGGCAAACUGACUAGCAGGGCCUAAACUCAUAAGUGAGAAUGGAAUUGCACCUAUGGAGCACUGGAAUUGACUCUGCCCCGGUACUUGACUCUGCAACUUACUGGAAGGGCCUCGUAUUGGAAUGAAGAGUUUCAUCAGUUCACCUAUAUAAGAACAGAUAGAAUUAUCCCAUAUUUUUCCCUAGUAUUUCCCUACUGAGUAUGUAUAUGAGAAAUCGUUGAACAUGAGCGGCCCUGCCGCGUAACAUUAGGAGUUACUUGGCUCUGGAUUAUUUGCAUUUGAUCAUUUCUUGUUCGAUAGAUGGAUACCUACAUUCUUCCCACUCCGAUCCGACCUAAACUCUUGCUCUGUAAACUAAUAAAGAGUUGGAUCCCGUCCCGAGCACAUAGCAAGUAGGAAAGCAUACAGAUUGAACUAGUUUACUUACCUCUCCUCUUGAGCUCACUCCUACUGUUGCUUGAAACCCAACCCACUCACCAAAACCCAGGAAAAAAGGCAGCACUGGUGAAAGCUCCUCCGCGUAACGUUAGUAGUGGCUUGGUCAUUAGCAGUUCCUUGGUGGACUUGUUUAUAACACAAGGAAAGGAGACAAGCCUCCAACUAAGCACUAAGUAUACGCUUGGCACUUGUUUUAGUUGUCUCAGAGGCGGAUGUUUUACUUGCAGAGUCAGAGAGGGGUUAAGAUAAAAAGCACAUAGGCAGCUAAGCUAGGAAGCACGAUCAGGAUAGAUAGCCGGUAUUGAACUAAAGAAUGAUGUUGACUUCAAACUUGAUAGAUAGGUCAAGUAAGAGCAUUGGGCCCCGGGUUGGUUCAGAGCACAGGGUUGGUUAUAGGCCUCAGCAAUGUAUAACUUUUGAUUGCACUAUUGAUGAUAACUACACCUAUGGCUCCACUAAUAAAGAAUGAAACUAUACUUACUGAGACUUGAAAAGAGUGGAAGGAAUUCAUAUGCUCCGGGCCAAGCAACUCUCUAUCUGGUGUUACAAAAGAAGCUAGAGAAUCAGCAGUUUACAGGUGUUGGCUUAGAGAAGAGAAAUCCUUCCUUCCUGUCCUGAGUUGGAGGGUCAGUUUCUGUUUAAGCCAGUCUUUGUCUACUGGUAGGGGAGUGGAGAAUAGCCAGUUCUUGUUGCAUCGUAAAGCGGGUCUGCUAAUGAAAGAAAGUAUACUUAAUGGAGUGAUAGAACAAGUAGUAGAGUAGCCCAGAGGUAUGGGAGAGGGAUGGUUUUCAUGGGUAUGUAUAGGAACAAUAGGUAUAAAAGAUGAAAUCGGUAUAGUUGCAAUAUCUGACUUAGCUAGUGAAAUUCUGGAAUUCUACCUGAUGAGUCGAGGCCCUUAUAGUGAGUUUCGUGAGUUCAAUUAGAACUUGCCUUACCUACCAGUGAGUUCAAUUAGAACUUGCCUUACCUAUUGCAAAGAAUGGGUCAUAGGAGUAGUAAUUCUUAUCUUAAUCAGAGAAUUGGGCAUAGGUUUCUUAUACCUUGUUGCGGCGGAUAGUAGAGGCGAGGUGGGGCGCUAAGCAAGAAAGAUGGAAUUAAGUAUUUGUUGAAAGAGUAGAGGUCUUAACCCCGAGUUGAAUCCAUCCGUUCUCCUAUAUAAAUAUAAUAUAUCAUUUAGUAGAAUUUCCCCUACUGUUUAUCUACUGUGUUGGUAUAGACAAGAUGAAACGACUUUUCUACUAUUUUUUCAUUUUAUCAUUGAUUGUUUUUUCUGGUUUCUUGCCUGAUAGCUUUCAUUGUUUUUGAUUCCUUGCCGGAUAGCUUGAAUUGCUUCCCUUGAGACCUAGACUCUGGACUAGAGCAUCUCUUCUACCUUUGCUCCUAUAACUUCAUGAAGAUUGCCAGGUUACAUCCUCCUAUAUAAUAACAUAUAGAAUUUCUAUGGCGCCAAGUAACGGAGUAAGUGUAGCGGCAGUGGCCAAGUAACUACUAAUGUUACGCGGCAGCCAAUAAACAGUUAUAACGGCCAAGCAACUACUAACGACCGCCAAGACACUACUAACGUGGCGCUAAAGUGAGUUUUAGGCGGCGCAAGACGUUGGGCGGUAGCAAUAGUAACAUAUAUUACAAGUUAUUACAAUAGAUGCUUUUGGGGCCGCUCCACUCUUUCUAUUACAAUAUAUGUUUAAAGCUACUGUUUGUCUACUUAAUUCGGUAUAUGAGAAAGAUGUCGACUUUUCUGGAUUAUUUGAAUUUCUUAUAAAUUCAUUCACGCCUCUGAUCUCUCCUCUGAUCUUGCUAAUCUACCUCUGUAAACUCCCAAUCUAUCUUCUCUGUAAACAAGGGAUUCGGACUAUCACUUCACUUUCUUUCUUUAAAAACAGUGUAUCUAUGCUUUCUAGAGCCCAUUGCUUUAUCUCAUUCUCACUUACCCUUAGUUAAAGUCUGCCUUUGACUUGACCUCUUUGAUUCUUACUAAACUGUAUCUCGCUCUCGGAGCUAGCUAUUAAAUGCCUAUGCCCGGGAGUUAGUCUCCUAUGUUCCUGGUUGAGUCUGACUAUACUGUCUUUUAGCCUUGCAUUACUACUUACUAGACUGUCCUUUAGCCUUGCAUUACUACUUCCCGUUCUGCUGCCACUAGCUUCAAUACUGGCUAACAGAGUUAAGAAUCGAGCUGGGACUUACAAGACUUAUCUCACUACUAGAAAGAAUCAAACAAGUGAGUAAUAGAAUAGGUAAUCAUAUCGGAGGGGAUCAAACUAAUAAGUCAGAUAAUCGAUAUAGAACAUGGGAAACAACCUCCUACUUAUAAGUGUUGGCCCGGGAACUCGGCCUUUGUCCCCUUGCCUUCAGUCUGGUACCCCGGGUGCACAUCACAUAUGUAUUUCCUACAUAGGGCUUAGGCUCCUUACUUUUCUUCUGACUUAUGAGCUUUUGUUUUCAACUAGAUUCUAUCGGGCUUAGGCUCGUUCCUUGCACCGGGGCGGGUAGUCUGAUCCAUCGGGUAAAAUACAAUAAUAGUAGGUAGUGUGGUACGACUAAUAGUAUUAAGUAUAAGAAUGCAUGUUGGGGUCAAAAGUGAGAAUGGUAGCGAGGGGAAGAAGAAAGAAAUGCCUCCACUAGUAUAAGAAUGCUACUAGGGACAUUGAGACAACAGCUACUACUUAUAAGCAAACUUAGGCUUUCGCUACUACCUAUAAGGCUUUAACCACUAAUAGGAAUGAAAUACGACCCAGGCCAAGCACCUACCCUUAGGGUUACAGAAUCAAACUCAGUAGCAAGAGGGAGAGGUGAGCUUGUCCAGUUGCCUUGUCCAGUUGCUUGGCCCCUGCAAAUAGGUUAUAGGCGGGCUGAGAUUACACAGGGGUAGAGACCAAUGCUAGUAGUACCUGAGAUUACACAGGGGUAGAGACCAAUGCUAGUAGUACCUGGUCCUUGUCCUAAUUCACUUUCUUUUGAGCUCAUCAUAGGAAAAAGAUCUUUAUUGUUUGUUGGAAAUCCUCAUAGAAAUGGUUGGUAUCAAAAAUCAGUAUGAAACUAACGGACACAUCAUUAAAGAAGACCAAAGGAAAGAGGUUGUGAAUGUAUUGUUUCAUGUUUCCACUGUGACUUUAGCCCGGGAAGGCUAACUCGACCAGAGGAUCCGAAGGAGAAGAAGGGCUUGCUGCUAUCCAGAUCUCGAUAAACAAAUGGAAGGCAAAUGUUGUCCUCUUUUCCGGCGNNNNNNNNNNNNNNNNNNNNNNNNNNNNNNNNNNNNNNNNNNNNNNNNNNNNNNNNNNNNNNNNNNNNNNNNNNNNNNNNNNNNNNNNNNNNNNNNNNNNNNNNNNNNNNNNNNNNNNNNNNNNNNNNNNNNNNNNNNNNNNNNNNNNNNNNNNNNNNNNNNNNNNNNNNNNNNNNNNNNNNNNNNNNNNNNNNNNNNNNNNNNNNNNNNNNNNNNNNNNNNNNNNNNNNNNNNNNNNNNNNNNNNNNNNNNNNNNNNNNNNNNNNNNNNNNNNNNNNNNNNNNNNNNNNNNNNNNNNNNNNNNNNNNNNNNNNNNNNNNNNNNNNNNNNNNNNNNNNNNNNNNNNNNNNNNNNNNNNNNNNNNNNNNNNNNNNNNNNNNNNNNNNNNNNNNNNNNNNNNNNNNNNNNNNNNNNNNNNNNNNNNNNNNNNNNNNNNNNNNNNNNNNNNNNNNNNNNNNNNNNNNNNNNNNNNNNNNNNNNNNNNNNNNNNNNNNNNNNNNNNNNNNNNNNNNNNNNNNNNNNNNNNNNNNNNNNNNNNNNNNNNNNNNNNNNNNNNNNNNNNNNNNNNNNNNNNNNNNNNNNNNNNNNNNNNNNNNNNNNNNNNNNNNNNNNNNNNNNNNNNNNNNNNNNNNNNNNNNNNNNNNNNNNNNNNNNNNNNNNNNNNNNNNNNNNNNNNNNNNNNNNNNNNNNNNNNNNNNNNNNNNNNNNNNNNNNNNNNNNNNNNNNNNNNNNNNNNNNNNNNNNNNNNNNNNNNNNNNNNNNNNNNNNNNNNNNNNNNNNNNNNNNNNNNNNNNNNNNNNNNNNNNNNNNNNNNNNNNNNNNNNNNNNNNNNNNNNNNNNNNNNNNNNNNNNNNNNNNNNNNNNNNNNNNNNNNNNNNNNNNNNNNNNNNNNNNNNNNNNNNNNNNNNNNUCAUCAUUUUCAACGUUCGGAGAAGGCCUUUUACACCCGAAAACAUAGUCCAAAGGGAUACCUAGCCUCUCGUCCAUAACCGAGCCCAGAAGAGGAACCGAACCGCAGUAAGGGCCUAAAGCAUUUGAACCUUGAAGCUUAUAUCGAAAAAGAGAAUCAGACAAGCCGACAAGCUGUUGCGCGUCAGUGAGUUUUACCUACGAAGUAUAUCAAACUACCCUUUCGUCUUCUUUUCUCAUUGGAAAGUAUUCUACGGAUUCGGGAGUAACGAGAACUAGGAUUGGAUUGAAAACUGUAAGCCUGGCUUCUGAUCUCGGCAACUAGGUUUAGGCUUCAACAACGGAUUUCUCAUCUCUCGCCUCGACACUGUAUUCUUUAUUUAUUACUACCGAUACUGUAUUCUUUAUUUAUUACUACCUUAUAUAUACCCUCUGCCCUUAUUACUCUGAUUUGAUUCUGGAAUUCCAUUAUGAACUGAAAGUCGACCAGAGGUAAUUCCAUUAGAAACUGAUAAUAGAGUUUCGGGUGCUGUGCUGAGAGUAGUAGAGUUGGGGAACUCAUCUCAUUAAGCCUAUGGUUAGUAACUAAACUGAUUGGCCAAAGUAAACGAGAAGAAUCCUAAGCUUUCACACUGUUUUAGGAAAGGACCUACUUUCAAGUGGCUGAUCACAGGAAGGACCUACUUUCAAGUGGCUGAUCACAGGAAUAAUAGAAGAUCUCCUAUCACAGUGAGUAGUGGAGAGUAAAAAGAUGCUAAGAAAUUAAUACUUACUUAUAAGGGGUAGCAAGCAGACUUUCCAAUCAUAGUGGGAAGGCGAUCACUAGUGGAUGCACUCACUGAACCCGACAGUCUUUCCAAAAGAGUAGGAGCGUCGAAUUACAAUGAAUUGGGACCGGCCGCUCUGUUGCAUUUAUAUUUGGCGAAAAAAACCAAAGAAGUGAAUUGACUGUUUCGGAAACCUUUGAAAUUGAUAUUCUUUCGGGAACCUUUGAAAUUGAUAUUAGAAUCCCGACUUCCUGCUCUGCUACGACUAUUCCAUUGAUAUUGGAAUCCCCUUAUCCCUACUUCCUGCUCUGCUACGACUAUUCGGAAGUCUUAAUCAAAGGGGGUAGAGUGAUUUAUUACUACAUUGUUGCCAGUAGCCAGAGGGGUCUCAUAAGAAAGGUUGAGUAGUGACUUUAGCAGCGUUAGCACUUUCUUUCUUUGGCUUGGCAAACAAAACUCGUACACUAGCGCUAUUGCUCGUUGAAAAGAGGCACCCCGGCUUGUUGAAAAGAGGCACCCCGACCGACCCUAUACUCAAAUACUAUAUUAUAGCUAAAGCUUGUUUAUCGGUUUGAACUCCCGUUAGCACAACGUCUUGCUGCCCGGCGCAUCCCGCAACUCAAUAAGAAGUGUGUUUCCUCCCUAGCCGCCUAAUACACCAUUGCUCGUUCACUUGCUUUUGCCGUAGAGAUACCUUAUACUUGACUAGAGAUACCUUCUACUUUACUUGAUUUAUACCCUUGCUUUCGAUCUUAGAACACAGGUUUGCUUCCCAUAAGCGAGUCCAGAUUUGGUUUCUGCAUAGUAUAGACCUAAGUAAAGACAAUGUUUCCCUUUCUUAUGAAUCAGCCGGAACUUUCAUGCUUGGCUUCCCUUUUGCUUCCUUACUUGCUUAGCGAGAUUGCUUCUUUAGAGAUUCAUCUGAAACUGUUCCUUUCUACCCUACCGUACUCCACCAGCUCCUGCGGGACAAUCGGGACAUUCAUAAGCUUACUUCCGAACUAGACUUGAAGAACCGACCCGAAAUGAUUAAGUCGCACCGAACCUAGUAGCACCCAAAGCAAAGAGACGAGUAUUAAGUGCCAAAAACACUCUCCUCUCCUAAAGCUAUAAGAUCAAGAUACCGCCCUGAAGAACUAUGGGUUUGUUAAGGCUAUCAACUACCCCCCCCAUACAUAUCAUCUCGGUGUUGGCUGUAAACCCUGAAAAGUGGCUGCUCUUUCUCGGUUAACUCCCAAACUUUCUUUCUUUCCCGCUUCCUUUAAUUAAUAGUAAGCGCAUUAGGAGCUAUCAGCAUGAGAACUUAGAUUCGGCUGCCUUUCCUUACUCAAAAAGAACGGAAAGAUAAUCCGGCAAAUUGCACUCCAUAAAACCUGCGAGCAAACUGAAGCUUCAAGCAAACUAUAGCGGAAAAGAGGAAAUAGCAACCUGCGCCGAGAUACGAAAUACAAGUAAGCAGUAGAGGUUGGCGCAAAGAGAAGAGGUGUGUGUUGUACUGGAGAGUAAUUGACCCCAUUUCUAAGUCUAAGGCAUUAACUACCACAGUUGGGACUGUCUAAAGUAAAGAAUGGAAUCUACUGUUUCUUGCGCUGAAGAGAGGAGAAGAUCUGAUUUUAUUGCCUGAAAAGAAGAUAGUCUGGAAGAUUGCACGAAGGAAGAAGUAAGCAUUAGUUAGUGAUGAGAAAGCCGUUGCUUGAAGAGAGCAACUUAAAUGUGAGGAAAGCCUAAGUGCUAGCGCGAGCGGGUACCUUAGUGUGGGGAAAGCCUAAAAAGGUGAUAUAUUGACUCAUAGCUUAACACAAGCACCCGAGCCUAGUAACAGACUUCGGGCUGACUCUAUAGUCUCUCGGUCAAUCGGUGGUCUAGUAACUUCAUUAAACAAGUAAGUCAAGGUAAAGCGCCUAUUACUGAUCUAAGAGCAUCCCUUUUGCUAGACUAAACUCGCUAGCUCCCCCACAGAGGAAACUCUACACUCAGGUACCAGUAAAUCCUUUCAUACCUUAACUCCGGACUAGAGCAUCUCAUCUAACUGAAUUGGCCUGUGUUCUACCAGCAAUAAUAGGGUUCCAAAUGAAUUCUUUCUCAUGAUAUUGAGGGUUUGUUCUUAGACUCUAUUCUUUCUUCGGCUGAUGAAACUCUAGGCUCGGCUUCUCGAACAGAAAGAUACUCGUCUCCAACAACUAGAUCGGUUGGGUUGGCCAGAUAAGAGAGGUCGGCCAGGGAACUAGCAUCUGUAUCUGUCUUGGAAUCUAUUUAAGUGCUCAUUAACAUUAAGUCUAGCUCUAAUGAUUUUGUUUAUUCUUUGGAUUUAUUACCUACCUACUGCAUCUGCUUCGUCUGAUACGGAGUCUGAUACUUUGUUUGCUGAUUCAGUUUAUUCACUUGGAGUUGAAUUCAUAGUUUAUAGCUCAGUAAGCAUCCUAUCCCCGGUAGACUUACUUAUUAGUUUGGAUUCCCUUAAGUAUAUAUCUGCAACUUCUCAUACACCUUAGCACAUCUGCUCUUGCGUUAUAACCUAUACUCCUUAUUCCGAGUUUCGAUGUAUAGUCUUAUACUCUUUUCUCUGAUCCUAAUACUUGCUCCUUCCAUUCCACUCUUGCUUGUUAGCUGCCCUUACUUUCGUCUCCUUACUUUACAUACAGGAGAGUUCCAUUCUUCCUUUCGAGUGGGGAGCACCUGGUCCUGUAUAACUAUGACUUUCUAGUGGAAUUCCUACUUCCGAGCAUAGAGCACCCUAAACUAGCUCGUGUACCCGCCCCUAUUCUUCUCGUGUACCUGUGACCAUAUUCUUAUUAAUAUGUAUUUAAUCCAAUCUUUUACUACUUCUUUGGAUUCUGACCACUACAAUUAUUAUUCCUAUAGCACAGUGGGGGUACCCUGACUUAAGGCAAGGAAGUCAGACCGAUAGCCAGGAGAAAGUGAGCCCUAUCAGUAGUCGCGAUAUUUUGGAUUAUAAGGAACAGUAUUGGAAGCCGCGAUUCCAUUCUUAUAUGCCCGUUGUUGUUAGCAGUGGUUUCAUCCUCUUACUACUUCAUUGAAUUCCGCCGUUCUUUUUCUCUUACUAUACUAUUACAACUGCGAGUCUUAUACUAGAGUUCAUCAUCUACGAAUCCAAUAGGGGGGUCUAAGGCUUCAACAGGAGCAUAGGCACUUAAGACAGGCGUUGAAAGAACAAGUCCAAGUUUGCCCUCUAGCAAGUAGGGCUCGGACUACUAGGUUUAGUUCCUUAUUUCCUGGGUGAGAGUUUAGUGUCAUACGCCCCAGUUCAGUUCUCUGCAGUAGUAGCAUUGUUUUUCAUAGAGCUCCCCAAUUUCAUGAACGAACACAAAAUAGUUGAAGCUCCAAAAACCAGGACGGAGUCGUUGAUUUCUUGUUAACAUCAGUAUAAGGUUUCAAAGCUAGUGGAGCAAGAUUCGAGAUCAGCAGCUAGACUAAUGCUAACAAGGGUCGAACUAAGUAAACCAAGCCUAACUCACCAGCAGCCCAGGCCUUAUUGCCUUACUUUCAAACUUCCACUAAUUUCUGAAAGGUUACCAAAAACCCAAUAUAGAGUAUUGCCUUCCUCACUUUGAUUCUGACUUACUUAACUGCCCUCUCGCUACUAACUAUUAGGCUUAGCGCUCUACCCAAACUAACAUGCCUCACUUUUGCUUUACUACCUUUGCUUUAACUCUGUAGUGAGUACUUCUAAUACUUUGUGGAUUUAAACGAUAGCUCUUUUGCGGGUGUGCUCAGUAAACAUAAUUCUGUGAGGUCAACAGCAUUCUUAGAAGUCUCGAUGCUAACUACUACUCAACUAGAGGAAUGAAUCAACUCCGACAGGAAGAGAAUUAAGCCACUACAAAUUGAUAAUUGUACUCAUCCGUAACAGAACUAACCAGCAGAGGCUAGACUUCAACAACAUAGGGAUCAAACAAACUUAGGAGUAUCGGACUUCAAACUCAUAGGACAGGAUCCAAUCCAACAGUGAAGUUCAAGAAAGAAAGUGAGUGGUAUCGGGUCAAGAGAGUUUAUAGUACUAUUGUUACUAGCUUGGUUCUGACUUGACCAAACAGACCUAUAUCUCUACUAUUGGUGUUAGCCCUAUAAUGAAUAGUAUGAGAAAGUAUGAAAAUACGCUAGAGGAUUGGGGUUAGGUUAAGAUGUUAGAUCAGGACCUUAGAUGCGGUGAAGCAAGGUGAUUAUAGGAGUAGUUCAAGUGGGAAGGUAAGGAUAGUCAGAAUAAUCUAUUGUAUAGGAGGAAUCAAAGACAGGAUCCAAUGUCAGUGUUAGAGGAUCAAUCAAUACCCCAGGAAGGUAGCUUUGGCUAAGUAACUACAACUCAAAAGUAAGACUAUUAAGUCAGUUUGAAAGUAGAACAGAACCCCUUGUAGCUGACUUGAUUCUUUUCUUCUCGAGUCGACAACUAAGGUCAACAAUAACCUCUACCCUACGACAAGGAACUAGAGCACCAACCUCUUAUUCUGAUUAUUAGAUGACAGACGCCUCUUCAAAGCACCGAACUCCCACUUGGAUUAUGAUUUGUAAUAUAGAAACUGGAUCUCCUUCCAGCUAUUCUAAUGAUUAUUAUCAUUCUCACUUAUGCAGUAAACCAAUAUACACCAAUGAGUGGGACAACGUAACUUCAUGAUUAAACACAGAAAUCUAGGACCUACACUAGUCACUCGGGAAUCCAACUGUACUACAAUAGAUCGAACUGCAGCUAACAAGAAUAUACACCACUACCGGAUAGAUUUGAUCUUACUAAUAAACAAUUCAACGGGAUUCCAAACACUACUAACAGGACUGUAGCUGCUCUUACUUGACUAGAUAUCAGGCUUAGUGCUCUACUCGUCAUUCUUUAGGGCCUUUAGCUGGAUUCCUCUCGUUCAGAUCCGUCUAUCUCCCUACUGCUUCAUGCUUAACCACUGCUCAUAAGACUAGUGCUUCGAACUUAGAAUUACACUAGUACUUAUAAUACUUAGCUACCUAACUACCAGAAUCGAAAAAGCAACAAACAAUUCCAUAUUAUUAUAAUUAAUGUGAGAAUUAAUGUUUGUAUUAUUAUAUUCUAAGUGAUAAGAGAAUGUUUGAACAAGCCCAUCAAGUAAAGCACCUGCAACUUAUUAUAGAGCCUACCUCUACCUUGAAUUGUAUGAAACUAUUAUAGCACCGGGUGGAUUCCACCUUUCUGAACCGACAACACCACUGUCAACCGCUUCACCUCUCUGACCCGCUUGCAACAUGGAAUUUCUCAUUUAUAUCUCUUGUGUCACACUAAAACGAAACUGAACUCUCAGACCCGGUAACAGGACACUUGUUCUUGCCCGAACGACACUUGAAUUGAAGUCAUAACCGCCUAACCACUGACUUUUUCAUCGUUACUGCUUGCUGUUUACUCUCCAAGGAAUUGCUUCUCUUGGCUACCUCCCCUUUCUCUUAAGCCACUUAGUCUUGCUCCAGUCCUGUUUCGAGCCGAGCCCUAGUAUAUAUAAGGUAAUAUUAUUUAGUUCUAUAUGAUCUCAACUCCGAUACUUAAGCUUAAGCUGAAUAAUUGCAUUUCAUCUCUAUUGCGCCAAUAGGGGUUUGCCAGAACAAAUACUGGAGUUAAGGGUCGGGUUGGUGACUUCUGGUAGUACUUGCUAAGUAUACCUUGCAAUGAAAAAACACGGGAAAACGCACAAAUCUUAUUUCUAUGAACCAAGCUAAGAAGGAAAAGAACGAAGCUAUGAAAAAAGCCGGUAAACUUCCUGCCGCGUAACUAACGUAGUUACUUGGCCGCCUAGAUCGGCUUGGUCGUUAGUAGUUGCUUGGCCGUUCUUACUUUUUCGGCUGCUGUACGGAACACCUGUGAGAGAGGAAGGAUUGAAUCCACUAGUGCCCUUCUGAAAUCGGAAGACUCCGCAGAAUAUGUAGGUACUUAUGGCAGAACGGUCUGGUCUUUCACAAUAAAGUUCUAGAUGGAACUGACAUGAAACGACCUUAUUAGCGGAUUAAUAGAUUAUUUGUUAAUGGCAUAUACAUCACACAUCCUGGAUCAAGGACUUACUCAGCUCUAGGUUUCCAGCAAGCCACUGCUACAUCUAUUUCAUUAGGAAUUGAUUCUCUUUUGACCUUAUAAGGGAUGGCUAGUCCAAGAUGCUGAACAACCCACUUUAUGAAUUGCUUUUAAGCGAGCGAGUGAGUCAAGAUGCGGGAGGACUUAACUGGCUAAGAGGGUAGGAGAAUGAGUUUCCAAAGAAUAUGAAGGGACAGGGAAGCAUCAUUGAGCAAGCUUAGAAAGGUAACAGGCGUAACAAGCUCAAAAGCGAUAGAAGCUUUUUGACGCACACUCACACUAAGAUUGAGAUUCAGGUCGCCCGCCUCCUACUUAUAUUCUGAGGAAGGUAUUAAUCCCUCUCCUUUAAGUUUCAAUUGAAUCGAUCCGAGAACUAGGUUCAAGGGAUAGGUCGGAAGUUACAUCGUGAAAGAGAAAGGGCCAUGAUGGAAAAGGACUUAUUUCUUAUCUGCCUUAUCACUUGGAAAAUCUGACCUUGCUGGCACUUACUAUCUCCGCCUUAACUGAAUGAAAAAGGACUAGACCGAACCUUAGCCUAGGUAGGAAGGCAAGACCUACUAUAUCUUCAAAGAGUCAAGAAGUCAUGAACUCUGGACGGAUCUCUAAAGACUGUAGAGAGUUGAUAUGAAGUCCUAGGUUUGAAUUGGAAAGUGCAGCUGCGAAGAAAUUCCCCUAUCUGACCUAGCUAUGUAUAGAAUCCAUCUCCCAGUCGUAAGAGGUAGCGAGAUUCAUCAAUAAUAAGUCCAUUGGGCUCAAGCUCUCUAUCCGCCGAGUUGCUCAUCUUAAGAACAGCCUUGCCUGGCCAUCUCUCUCGCAAACUACCUUUCUCUAAGCCUCGUCCCAAGCUAGACUCCGCCCAUCUCUUUGAUUUGAUUCUUGUCAUUAUGAUGAAAUAUGAAAUGAGCUCCCCAUCCAAAAUGGCGAAACCUAAGACCGAAGCUAUCAACCAUCUCCCCUAUGCCGAGAUUCUUUGGACCAUGCUGCAUCCGACUUAUGGCGCUCUAUCAGCUAAGGAGGGAGCUAAGGUAGUUGUAUUCGCCUUUGCUGCUCUUAAUGAAAAAGGAGCUGUGGCAUCUCUAUCAGCUAGUUAGCUAGCCGCUCUUUACCUAGUCUUCGCUAGUUUCAUUUUGCUUCUCGGCUUAUUCAUUUCGGACUAGUAGCGGAGUCCCCUGCCUUUUUAGGGAAGAAGGUAAGGUAGUUUCUAUUCAUGCUUGCAUCUCGCCUAUCCUCAGAAGGAGGUAUCUCAUAGGAUCUGACUCACAGUAAGAAGUUACACACUAAUAAGUAAGGAGAUGGGUAUGCCCUUUGUGGUUUUGGAGAACAUCCUCUUAUCGUGAUUGAUUGGUCACUCGAAAUGCAAUAUGACUGAAGACGUAUCUCUGUCGAUCCGUACACACACUGAAAGAAAUCUCGUACGCUAAGCGCUCCUUCCAUGUGGCUAUCUACCGACUGGAUGUCGCCCGCUCUGACUCUUUUCUUGACUCUAAUACGGCUUAAAGGAAUACCUCAACUAUUUGGCAAAGAAUACCUCAACUAUUUGCCGAUACCGAGCUGAGUGAAUGAGCAGCUUUCAAAAGCUGUAGAAAGAUACCAUGUUCCAUGCUCACCUAGAUGUACAAGCAGUCAACCUCUAUUCUCUUUUUUGUAGCUGUGGCAUUCUUGUGAAAGGGGAAAGAGACUACCUAGUGGCAAAAGUACAAACAAUUUACCUCAAUCGCUGGGCUGGGAAUCGAUCAAGUAUUAACUCACCUAUGGGGCGAAACUAAAGAACGCAAAGUUUGGGACUAGGCACGACCCCUCUUCUUUCUUUAUACGAUCGUUUUGAGUUUGACUGAUUCCUUAUGGGGAUUGAGCGUUUUUUUGAAUAUGGUUUUAGCUAUACUAGACUAAAGCCCAGGUUGUCAGAAUCCUAUAUCUUAUAGGCAAGUCAUAUCCGUCGUUCAGCGUUAAGGAAUGAAAGUGAGGAAGCAGCUUUGAAGUCAGUAGCGACAGACCUAUAGUUAGUAGCCAGGGAAUUAGAGAGCUUAGUCGCAGUGUUUGUAACUCAAAAGCAAGAAAGCAAGUAAGUAGCUGAGGAAACAGAGGCAGGAAAGGCAUACUUUAACCAAAGGGUGGAAACAAUAGCAUAGGUCAUUUCGGGCAGUAGCGAAAGUACUAUUUCCUCGGUUGACUCUUUCCGGGAGUGAUUCAAUUCAGUCUUCUUAGGUCGAUUCUUCCUUUUUAGUUUCAGUUCCUCUGUUUUGUAGUGUGAUUGCAGCUCUGCGCCUACUGCUUAUUGUACUGCUGAGUUCCCUAUGCUUAACUACUCUUAGUCUAUUGCUGUAUGUGCUUAGUCUCUCGCUGGAUGCGCUAUGCUCUUAUCAUGAAGAGCCGGGGCAUGGGAUACUAACAACAGUAGAGGAAACAAUCAACAGUAGAGGAAACAAUCGACUUCACACCGGCACCAUAGCUCUCUCGUUCAAUGAGAAUAGAAAUUAUCCUUUGUUCUCAAUAAUAUAUUCUAAUGAGAAAAGAAAGAAUAGCAUUAGCACUGAGGAAACUAUCUCAUAAAGAAGAGAAUUGGUGCUGUGCUGAGGAAACUAUCUCAUAAAGAAGAGAAUUAGCACUGAAGAAACUAUCUUGACAAUAAGAAUAGCGUUGGCACUGCUUACCUAAAAUCUGGCUUUACCUAUAAAGAGAUUGGUGUAAAUGUUACUAUAACAGCACCUAUUUGGGCAACUACAAGUCCAGUGUAUUAGGAGUGAUGAACAAGCCCUGUAAUCCAAUAAAGAAAGACCUGUGUUCGGCAACCAAUACUAGAAAGAAUGGAGACUAUGCCCCGAUAAGCCAGCCUUUCCAGCAAUUGGUCUUCAACUUAUUCAUAGUAAGAAGCGAACAGCUGCUUCUCAUAAUCGAACUACUGGCAAGCAGACUUCAACUAGCACAGGUAGGACUUACUACCUACCUGACAAGACUGCCUCUCCUGCUUUAAAGACCGCUUCCUAUACUGGAUCUUACAAUAAGGAAUCUCAAUACACCGAAAGGGAAUCGAAUCGCGGAUAACAAGCCUUACUUCCUAUCCCCGGACACUCAAACUUUACCUACUACCUUACCCACAACUUGCAUUCGUGGGAGCAUCCAAAGCACCGACUUAUAGCUAUAGCACCUUAUUCUUAUUCCUUUACAUACAGAUAUAGCCUCCGACUUUCCUUUAUCUAAUUCUUAAUACCCUUUCUUUCUAUCCAGGCUAGCACUACUAUCAGCUUGCCCGCACAGGGAGGCCCUUAUCAAUACUGUCAACCAACAACGAACAGGGAGGCGCCCUUAUCAAUACUGUCAACCAACAACGAACAGUUAUUUCUUUUAACAACAACACACGGGUAUUUCUUUUAACAACAACACAAUAAGCCCUUACUGCUUUUCUUUCUUUAAACACCGGGGACAUAACCUGGCUUUCUAUAUAUUAUAUAUGAUUCUGACUACCCUGACUGGAAUUCUUUGACUCAUUGGUACGAUGUAGUGUAGCGCAUCUUGUAAUAGAAUAAUUGUAUAAGGAACUGUAGAGCGAGAACAAAACCUAGCUGUAAAGAAGAAAGGUACGAUCCAAAGCGCAUCCUGUAUAGAUAUAGAUUAGGGUACGAUCUAGUGCACCUAGCUACUAACCUUAACUUAAUAAGUCACAACCAAAACUGGAAUUCGCUACUUUCUAAUGAGGCUUUACCUAGAGAGUAAGAAAUCAACUAGGCCAAGUAACGACUAACUAUAAGAAGAACCCUUGCAAUAAAGAGGAACUACCCGCCUAACAACACAUCGAAAAUGUCCACAUAGAAUAGAAAAAGUGACUCUAUGACUUAAGCUUUAAUGCCUUAUUCCUUUUUCUUAUCUUACUUAUUAAUGAUUGUAGCCCGAGCCUUACUAUACUUUAUGGAAUUCUUUUCAUACAGCUUAUGAUCGUUACUUGCUAGAUUGAGUAUACCUAUUAUUAUCUUUGUGUUCGGAGUCUUACCUUCCUCUCACUUUACUUACCUAGAACCUUGCUCGUGAGACCCAACCUGCUACUCAUUCCUUGAACCCGCUCUCGAACUCUGACUACUCGGACAGCACAUAUGGAUUUGUAUCUCCCUAUACUCCAUAAAGCCUUACUGGCUCAUUUAAAACAAACACUACAGCUUUUCUUUCUUGAAACUCAAAAGGGAUCUUUGCUUUGAAGCUGGCACUGCUACUUAUUAGAAUUGAAACACUAUCUAACAAGCUAUAACUAAUGCUUAUAAUACUUCAACAGGCAAAUAGUAAUGAAACUCACAACAGGGAAUCGAACGACUAUUCUCAGAAUUGAAACACUACCUUCUAAGCUUGACUCCCAUAAUAAGGGUCGAUGUAAUUGAGCCGCUACUUAAUAAGCUUGACUAUCAGAAUAAGGAAGCCCACGACGAAGACUAUCCGAAUUGCACUCGAUAUCCCCUAUUCUUAGUAUGGAGCUCCUUGCUCUCAUUCUGAAAACGGACUACUAUUAGUCUUAUACCGGGUUCAUAGGCUUCUACCGAUAAGCACAAUUGCGUAUCCGUGCGCCACUAGCCAUUCUUUGACUACUCAAUUCCCGAACACAGUAAUAAAUAAGAGAGGUCAAUAGAAUAGGAGUAAAUAGAGAAGUAAUGUAAUAUGGAUAAAGUCAAUAUCAUAGAAACAGAAAAAAGUCUCAUAUAGAAAUUGGAGAAUCAGAGGUAUAACUUGCUAACGGAGCUCUUUCCACUGUAUUGCUUCAAGUAGAGGUCGACAAGGGAAUAUGUUAGGUCAAGUGGUGCAAGAGAGAUUCCAUAAGUGAUAUUUCAUUCUAGACUCAGGGAGCAGAAAAGGACAAAGGUCUUCUUUGAGUAGGAAGUGGCCAAGGGCGGGCUAGUGUUAUAAGCUGUAUUAUACUCCUACAUUGGGUCUAAGUCGAAUAAGAAGAACAAGCAGGAACUCUACAUUCCAUUGGUUAGUUACCCCUAUCUAUAGCAGUCACUUGUGUUUUACUUUACUUCAUUCAGACAGUCUGUCCAGUCCAAACAAGAACAAGUGUACUAAAGGGAGUUCAUUCUUUUCGAACAAGUGCACUAGAGUGGAGAAGAGAGGUUGAGUUUAUUCCCCUGUGCGCCAGACUGGUUAGGUUCAUGUACGACGUUUCCCUUGCUUACUCUCUUAUAGUCAAGAAUAUGGGCACCGGCACCCUAGAAAGGUAAGCUAAUGCACCCCGCUCCGCUUAAGUCAGUUUCUGUUAGUUCUGUGAAUGGAGUGUACCUAUGAACAGCGCGAAGAUGAUAGGCGUCAAUGCAUUUGUGCAGCUUUUCUUAGUUUCAAUGAUCUAUUUGCCAUUAGCGGCCCUACCGCGCUUUUAGCUCACUUUAGCUAGAAAUUAGGACUCAAUUGAAUGGGAUUUUAGUACGACAUAUCAGAAUGGAAUUUAGGAGCACUUAGGUGGGUAGCAUUCUUUAUUUGGAGUUGGAUUCUUACCUAAAAAACAGGACUUGGUAAUGUAGUUGCUUGGCCCUUCCUUCCCUAUGAGAGACGGGUAGUUAACAGGCUAUACACGACGUUCAAGACAAGAAGCCUUCUUCAGCCAACACCGAGUAGUUUCACUAAUUAAUACAUGGAGUUCU
rnacentral:lncRNA from 1 species